AGAGUUUGAUCCUGGCUCAGGAUGAACGCUAGCGGCAGGCUUAACACAUGCAAGUCGAGGGGUAGAAGUUUUCGGACUUUGAGACCGGCGCACGGGUGCGUAACGCGUAUGCAAUCUACCUUUUACAGAGGGAUAGCCCAGAGAAAUUUGGAUUAAUACCUCAUAGUAUUAUGAAGUGGCAUCACUUUAUAAUUAAAGUUCCAACGGUAAAAGAUGAGCAUGCGUCCCAUUAGCUAGUUGGUGUGGUAACGGCACACCAAGGCAAUGAUGGGUAGGGGUCCUGAGAGGGAGAUCCCCCACACUGGUACUGAGACACGGACCAGACUCCUACGGGAGGCAGCAGUGAGGAAUAUUGGACAAUGGGCGCAAGCCUGAUCCAGCCAUGCCGCGUGCAGGAUGACGGUCCUAUGGAUUGUAAACCGCUUUUAUACGGGAAGAAACCCUGGCUCGUGAGCCAGAUUGACGGUACCGUAGGAAUAAGGAUCGGCUAACUCCGUGCCAGCAGCCGCGGUAAU
rnacentral:rRNA from 1 species